CAUUACACNAAUAUGAAGCCGGACUGGGAUAGGGCCUCGCUGCCUUGCCCGUCUGGCGCCAUAUUCACCCAUGUCUUUUUGCGUACUACUUGUUUCCUUGGCGGGUCCGCCCGCCAAUUGGACCUUAUUCAAACCUUUUUUUUCAGUUGCAAUCAGCGUCAGCAAAACAAAUGUAAUCAAUUACAACUUUCAACAACGGAUCUCUUGGUUCUGGCAUCGAUGAAGAACGCAGCGAAAUGCGAUAAGUAGUGUGAAUUGCAGAAUUCAGUGAAUCAUCGAAUCUUUGAACGCACAUUGCGCCCUUUGGUAUUCCAAAGGGCAUGCCUGUUCGAGCGUCAUUUGUACCCUCAAGCUUUGCUUGGUGUUGGGCGUCUUGUCUCUCUCCCGAGACUCGCCUUAAAAUCAUUGGCAGCCGGCCUACUGGUUUCGGAGCGCAGCACAUUAUUUGCGCUCUUGUCCAGCCGCGGUCGCGCGUCCAUGAAGCUUCUUUCAACCUUUUGACCUCGGAUCAG
rnacentral:rRNA from 1 species